UUCAGAUAACCCACAGCCAUCUCUCUAGGACAGAAAAAGAUUCAGUACCAUGUGAAUUCAAUCCUUUUCAGAAUUAUCACAGCUGCUGGAUAGGAAAUAAAUGACUGAAUGAAGGUCUGCAGAGCCCUGUCCUGUACUGACAAAGAUUUCAGCUACUGUGGGAUAGUCUGGAGAAUCUCCUCAUCAAGCAAGACAUGACCAUUAAAGGAGUUAUCACCAAAAAAGAAAUAAUUUCCUCUGACUUGAGAAUACCUAAAAAAGAGCAAGUGCAGCAACCCCCUGAACAGCACCGUGGAGUUAUCCUAAGCAAUAGCUGUGAGCUGUUACAACUACAUGCUCUUCUAACCUCUGUGGUACUUAACUCACACUUUAAAGGACAUCUCAUUUUCCAUCGUUCCUAGAUAACUAAUCCAUUCCAGUCCCUGCCUGCAAUCAGAACAUACUGCAAAAACCCAAUCUACAUACCGAAAGACAAGUACAUCCUUAAUUCCCGACUGAAUUAAAAGCAAACGUGAUUUCCCUGGCAGGUGUUGUAGGGUCACUUCUUAACGAGAACAAACUCAGGCUCAUUGCAAGGACUGGCAAAAAGAUUCCUCUCUGCUUUGCUGAAUAUGCAUGCUCUGAGAACAUUUGUUUUGCCAUGUAAAGGGAGAUCUGUUUCCAGACCUGCAUGACCCACAUGGGAAGCUGACUGGUUUCAAUUACAAGAGAUCUCAUGUACUAAAAGAUACAGGUGAAGGUAUGACUGCAGACAUCAAAUAAACAUCAGUGAUACUAAUGAGUUAAGAGCUACUGGACCUGUGGAACAUCUGAUGAAACUGGACAAUCAGAAAGUGAAGCCAUAGCUGGAGAUGUGGUGUUUGUAUCUCCUUUCAAUAAAAAGAUCUGUCACAAGAUUUCUUAGGUAACUGUGUUGCCCUAAGCUUUUCCUCAG